rnacentral:rRNA from 1 species
GUUGAACGCUGGCGGCGUGCCUAACACAUGCAAGUCGAACGAGUGGCGGACUGGUGAGUGAUUUCUGAGAAACUGCCUGAUCUACGCGUAUAACUACUGUAACCGUUAGCUAAUACCGCUUACGAUCAGAUCUGCCCUGGGGGGAUUAGCUAGUUGGUGGGGUAACGGCUCACCAAGGCGACGAUGCCUAGCUGGACUGAGAGGAUGACCGGCCACACUGGAACGGAGACACGGUCCAGACUCCUACGGGAGGCAGCAGUGGGGAAUAUUGGGCAAUGGGCGAAAGCCUGAUGGAGCAAUGCCGCGUGAAUGAAGAAGGUUUUCGGGUCGUAAAGUACUGUUAGCGGGGAGGCGGUACCUAAAGAAGAAGCAACGGCUAACUCCGUGCCAGCAGCCGCGGUAAUAC